UACGAUCUGGACCUGAUGCGGAGAACGG
rnacentral:sRNA from 1 species